rnacentral:misc_RNA from 1 species
UUCCCGUACGGGAGCUCUGGGUACUACUGUCCAUGUUGAGUUUAUCGCAAGCUGCUCAGUUGCGUUAGCGUCUUUGUUCCCGUGCGGUAGCUGUGCGAGUCCAUGUUGAAUUUAUCGCGGGCUGCUCGUUAACGGUAGCCGUCGGGUGCGUGUUUGUUUGCUUGGUUGGUUCUACUUGCACCGUGUCGUUGUGGCCUUGUGACUCACUACUGCUGCUGGGAGAUAUUUGGAGCGGCCAACGAAUGAAAAGGCACCGAGCUCGUCCACGCUGAAACAAGUGGCAACCUUCUCCAGACUUACUACAAAUGACCUUUUAGUGGCCACGACAAAGAUUAGCCAUUUUGGUUCGGAACGAGUCGAACAUAACCGUGUGGGUUGCUCCCGGUUAACAGAAGCUCAUUGUGAUGUCUUCACAAACCAGGAGACCGCCCAUGACGAUGACCUAGGAGACAUGCCCUUGACGCCCAUAAUAUGUAUGAAAGGACCGGGUCUUUUUGAGGCAGAAAUGUUCACUGUCUGUGUGGAUGGUGUUGCUCUAUUGACUACUCAGCGGGCCGCAGCUUUCAAAGCCAUGUUUCUUUUAUACUUUGUCCUUAACAUCGAGUAUCCACCUGAAGUGGCUUUGACAUUGGAGUUUGUGCAGAGGGCAAUCGCGGGAAUCAACCCAGAAAGAAGCACAAAGGCACGGCGAACAUCGAAGAAGCAGUAUUGUUUGUCCCCAAAGGUGGCUGCCCUGGCGAAUGCCCUGGAUCAGUACAAGUUCUGAUCUUGUGUUUGAGCUUUAAUAAAAUAAAAUUUAGAAGUU